AUUGAACGCUGGCGGCAAGCCUAACACAUGCAAGUCGAACGAGUGGCGGACGGGUGAGUAAUGUCUGGGAAACUGCCUGAUGGAGGGGGAUAACUACUGGAAACGGUAGCUAAUACCGCAUACCAUCGGAUGUGCCCAGAUGGGAUUAGCGAGUAGGUGGGGUAAAGGCUCACCUAGGCGACGAUCCCUAGCUGGUCGGCGAGGAUGACCAGCCACACGGGAACUGAGACACGUUCCAGACGCGUCCGGGAGGCAGCAUUGGGGAAUAUUGCACAAUGGGCGAAAGCCUGAAGCAGCCAUGCCGGGUGUAUGAAGAAGGCCUACGGGUUGUAAAGUACUUUCAGCGGGGAGGCGUAACCCGCAGAAGAAGCACCGACUAACUCCGUGCCAGCGGCCGCGGUAAUU
rnacentral:rRNA from 1 species